UUCACUUAAUUCUAACAACAGGAACGAGGGUACUGUGGGCUUCAUUUCAGAGAAGAGGAAACUGGGAUUUGGAGCUGAAGUAACUUGACCAAGAGCAGAUGGCAGGCACCCCUGAGCAUGAAAUAUAAAUUUCCCCCUGAGGAUUUAUGCCUUAUGUUUCUAGAGGGACAUAGAGAAGACAGAUAACUUAAAUUUUGCUGCUGCUGUCUCUUUGGAUUUGGGCCAUUUUUAAGAGGUGUAACACUCACUGUGAAGUUCUGUAGCUCCAUUCUUCAAGUUAGCGAGACCACGAACCUGCCGGAAGGAACCAACUCCGGACAUAGCAGAUCAAGAAGGCAGUCAGAAGUGGGCAAAAAAACUUUUUAUGGUUCACUGAGGACAAUCAACUCCUUCACAAUCUAGAACCCGAAGAUUGGAUCCUCUGAGACAUCAGAGAAAGAUUGCUUUAGCCAUCCUCACUGCAGUAAAACUUCAGGACCUCGAGCCUUGGGUUCAUAAUCUCACAACUGAGAAGGGUCCCUCCACACUGUUGAACUGUACACCCAUUGGAACCCUUAAGGUAAAGCUAACCAGGGAAGUUUCUCCCUAAGAAGAAGAUGGCAUCCUUGAUGCAAAAAGCUUUUCCCAACAUCACAGAUCAAGACUUCUAUUAUCAUGAGACUCUUAUCUUUGAAUACUUUUCCCCUUGCUUAUG
rnacentral:lncRNA from 1 species